rnacentral:rRNA from 1 species
AGUCACUGACAUUAGAUACCCGCGUAGUCCAGGGUGUAAACGCUGCAGACUUGGUGUUGGGAACCCUUCGGGGGUGUCCAGUGCCCGGAGAGAAGUUGUUAAGUCUGCUACUUGGGGAGUACGUCCGCAAGGAUGAAACUUAAAGGAAUUGGCGGGGGAGCACCGCAACGGGAGGAGCGUGCGGUUUAAUUGGAUUCAACACCGGAAAACUCACCAGUGAAGACUGUUACAUGAAAGCCAGGCUGAUGACCUUGCUAGAUUUUCAG